rnacentral:rRNA from 1 species
UACGUAGGGUGCAAGCGUUGUCCGGAAUUAUUGGGCGUAAAGGGCGCGUAGGCGGUUUGUUAAGUCGGUCGUGAAAGCCCGGGGCUCAACCCCGGAGGGUCGACCGAUACUGGCAGACUAGAGUACAGAAGAGGCAGCUGGAAUUCCCGGUGUAGCGGUGAAAUGCGUAGAUAUCGUGAGGAAUACCAGUGGCGAAGGCGACUACCUGGCCUGUUCUUGACGCUGAGGCGCGAAAGCUAGGGGAGCAACGGG